rfam:Astyanax mexicanus Tnplaced_Scaffold4380, whole genome shotgun sequence.
GGCCCAGUGGCCUAAUGGGUAAGGCACCAGCCUCGAGAGCUGGGGGUUGUGGGUUCGAGUCCCACCUGGGUCA